GAACACGCCAUUACCGUCGCAGUUACCGUAAUUACGCGAUGACGACCCGGACGUUCUACCCGAAGCUGUUCACAUCCUCGGACUCUGAAUUAAAGUGCAUCUGUUAUGCUUUUUCAAAUAUUACCUUUCACGUAGUGUGUUAUACAGUUUUUUAAAAAAAAAAACGCGCAAAAGCGCACGACAAACGGAGUUAUUGAAUCCUGAAAGAAGGAGCCGAUUCUGAACAGCUGAAACGAAUUCGUUAGUAAUUCCAGACUUACUUCCUGUACUAACCUACGUAGGUUUGUAACAAACAAACAAAAAAAAUCCUGCCUGUCACUGACAACAGACUGGGACAUCUGACCAAUCCGAGCAGAGUAUGCUCUCUGGAACGAGUCGUUCAGAACCAGUCGUUCAGAACCAGUCGUUCAGAACCAGUCGUUCAGAACCAGUCGUUCAGAACCAGUCGUUCAGAUCGUUUGUGACACUGGGGGGGGUUAAAUUAUGAGCACGAUAAAGUGCUUUUUGACCUCGGAUGCACGUAAAUCUAUUAUGAGAGCUUUAAAAGAAGAUUAGGCACAUUUCAGAACCAUAGUAAGUGCACUUUAAUGAAUCCGUACGUUUUAGACGACGAUGUUGACGGCCGCACGAUUACGUUAAACUGUAUCGUGUGUGUGUGUUUUUUUUGUUUUGUUUUGUUUUGUUUUUUUUUUACAUUUAUUUUUAUAAGAUUAAUCCUGCACUUUGAAGACGUUAAGAAGAGUCAAUGAUGCGAAUUAUUACCCAGAAACAUCACCAGAUAACUUCUUAACUACAUUUUACCACCGCCGCCAUUUCAGACGUUUCUAAUCUUCCAGAACGCGUCUUUUAAAAGGACUAGCGACGCAUCCAUCCAGGGGUUUUAGUUUACGUUACUACAUUUACCUUGCGUACGUUCUAUGAUCAUGUGACGUACCGAUAAUCAAGCCAUACUCUCUCUCUCUCUGGAGCUUUGUAUGUUCUUCCUGUUUGUGGGGUUUCCUGAAGGUUCGACAGCUUCCUCUCGAAAGCACGCCAGAAGGUGGAUCGAUCACGCUAAUUGAUCGUAUUUACAAAUUGAGCAGAGUGGAAGUACCUCAUUAUCUGAAUAAACAAACAAAUCCCAGCUUUCUCGUACAGUUCUCAAACAUCGAAAGGCGGUGGAAUGAUCCGGAACGACCGGGGGGGGGUGAAGCGCAUCAUCAUGUAGAAGCAAAUAGAAACAGCGGUGACGCCGUUUUGUACCGGAACCCGGAAGUUAUCAUCACACCGGUUCCCUCGACAGAAACCCAAUAGGAUUUUCAAAUCAUCUUCACAACUUGUAUGAAGUUUGAAGCCUAAAUCCAAUCUCCAGAACAUCUAAACCGUACGCUAUAAACGAGCUACACCACGGUCGCUCGACUUCAACGUCUCCAUCACCGAGCUUCCGAGAACUUUCCCAAACUUUAUUUAAAACAUUUUCCAUAAUACGGAUUUACUCUGUGGAUGAAUCUUCCCCCGUGUGUUUUGGGGAAUUGUGCACAGCAGACCUGAACCAGUUUAUCUGCGAAGUGUUUUCCUGCUCGGCGUGAUGACGUUUAAUGUCCCCGAUAGCCUCUGCGGUCCCGUUUAGCAACAUGUCAGUGUCACGAUUUCCCCUCGCGCACGCGCUGGAGCACAAGCAAAGCAAACCUCGUUUCCGGGUUUUAGCGUUACAGAAUGACGUCAUCCCUGCGCCGCUCUAUGGUGACUGGCUGUACGUUUAAGUAGCGCUUGAUUUGAUGUGCAGCGGAGUUUUCUAUGAGCAGAGGAUGAACUUUAAACGUCAAUAUCGCAGUGGAUCAUUUCCACGUAAUCCUGGGCAGUCAAAACCCCUAGUGAGGAUGCAUGUUAAGGAAACGAAUAGGUGCGCGGUGGUGUAGCACGUCACAGCUCCGGUGUCGCCGGUUCAGUCCUGAGCUCGGAAUAGUGUGUGUGUGUGUGUUUCCCCCACUUACGUCCAUGUGGGUUUGCUCUGGGUUCCUCUGUUCUCCCAAAAACACGCCAGGAAAGUGGAUUCGUGGGGUAGGCUCUGGAGCCGCCACACCCCAGGUCUUGACUGAGUGAGUGACUGAGUGAGUCGAGUGAGUCGAGUGAGUCGAUCGAGUGAGUGAGUGAGUGAGUGAGUCGAGUGAGUGAGUGAGUCGAGUGAGUGAGUGAGUGAGUGAGUCGAGUGAGUGAGUCGAGUGAGUGAGUGAGUGAGUCGAGUGAGUGAGUGAGUGAGUCAGUGAGUGAGUGAGUGAGUCGAGUGAGUGAGUGAGUGAGUCGAGUGACUGAGUGACUGAGUGACUGAGUGACUGAGUGAGUGAGUGACUGAGUGAGUCUGUGACUGAGUGAGUCUGUGACUGAGUGAGUGACUGAGUGAGUGAGUGACUGAGUGAGUGAGUGACUGACUGAGUGAGUGACUGAGUGAGUGACUGAGUGAGUCGAGUGAGUGACUGAGUGAGUGACUGAGUGAGUGACUGAGUGAGUGACUGAGUGAGUGACUGAGUGAGUCACUGAGUCAGUGAGUGAACGCGGACUUCAGGUGUUUUGUAAGUACGUUAAUCUCUUGGCUUAGAAACAAAUGUCGGACACCAGGCUCGUCUUAUUUACUCCAUUUGUUCCUCCACAUAUACUGAGGGCGAUGUCUUUUGCAGACCCCUGUGCGAAUAGUGAUCGGACUGCCACUAUUCCUGUAUUUGUACUGUUCAUUUUCUACACGAUCAGUCGAGAAGCAGGGCGGUGUCUUUUUAUUUUAUGUUUUUUUUUUUUUUUUUUUUUUAGUCCUUUCAGAGUAGAAUUAAUCGUUUGUAAACCCGUUCGCCUUCCCCCUGAGCAAGUCAAGUCCGAACCUGAGCGCUGUCGGUGAGCGAGCGAAGACGAGUCAGGACGCGUGGAUGCGUUCGACUCGUCAGACUCGACGGUCCUCGACCGUGCCCGAGGGGAAGCCGGUGAAUUCGGUAACUCGGGCUAAAACAUGCACGUCUCUCUGGCAGCGACGGAGAGCCUUUCGCAAACCCGUACAUCUCGCGUCCUGUCCCACUCGCAGCGUGAGGUGUGUCGAGAGCGAGGCUCGCGGUGAGUCGUCUCGGAGCCCUGCGGUUCAUAACGGCUCUGCUUCCACGUGGAGAUUAAUACUGUAUCCGUGUGCCGUAAAACCGUGCGCAAACAUCACGCUCGUAAAAACCCAGACCGCACAAUGAAGCCCUGGCUGUUCUAGAUGGAUCUGUCAUAAAGUUUUAAACACACACACACACACACAUGCACAAGAGGCCAAGGGAAGGGAGUGUUUCUUUCUUUCUUUCUUUCUUUUAAUUGUGAAGCUGACUGCACUUUGAUCUCUUACUGAUUUGUUUAGCGUGACCUGCGGUUAUAAUCAUCACCUGCUCUUUUACCUUUACUGAACUAGCCGUGUCAGCGGUCCGACUCCACAAGAUUGGAAUCGGAUUUGGAAAAUGUUCGGAACUGGAAAUGUUUACGUAUGGAAUUGUAAAAAAAAAAAUUUUGGGUUUCCGAUCGAUUUUUAGUUCGUGAUAAUCCACGGCUCGGUGUUCGUCACACAAUUUUAACGCACGACGCGGAGACGGAGAACCGCCCAACGUGGAGCGGAGCGCUUUAAAACGCUGGUACGCGCACCUCGCCGUAGAUUAUCCCGCCUUUACCCCGUCCGCCUCCCAGCGGUGGCGGGUUGCAGCCGGCGUCGGUGUUCGCUGUGCAAAAUUUGACGGGAAGGAUCAAAAAAGACGGUCGAUUCUCGUUAGUUAUUUUACGUACGGGUCGUUAGAUCUAGAACUCCGCCCACUCGAAAUCAUACAGAGAGACAACGUAGUGCGAUAAGAUGACUUUAUUUAUUUAUUUAUUUAUUUUUUUAAAGAAUUAUAAUAAAUAGUUAUCAGAGAUAGAAAGAGUGAAUUCCCGGUGUCUGUUCCACGUCUCUACUGAUAACAGUGAAGCUGUGAGUGUAACUACUGUAUGUUACUAUGGUUACAGUUGUUUACUGAUCGAGAACGGCGAUGAAACUGACCGGAACCACCUGUGCGUUAUACUAGGCCCGUCCCGAUAACGACUUUAUCGAACGAUCAUACGAUUAUACGAGCGUGACCUUCGUCGCGUGUUUGUUUACACGAGAAUGACCGUCACCGCGUCACGUCCGGCGAGUAGAGACGGACGCACACGCGGUUUCAGCGGUUCAUUAUUGGCGAGGCAGGGCAGCCAGACAAAUCCGAAUUGUGACCCAAAAAUCAGUAAACGGAACUCGGGUACAGGUCGGGCGAUCAGCGGACGGGUUCGGUGUUCACAGCAAGGCCGGUUUUCACAUGUUUUAUUCACAAAUAUUUAAAUAUCCGGUUGAGUUUUUCCGUUUCCUUGUCAACUCAGGGUUUCCGUAUCGGUAAGCGGUGGCGUUCUUUCUCAAACCUUUCGGACCUAGAGUACCGACGAGAAGGAACUCCUUUACGGUAACUCGGUUAAAGCUCUCACCCUCCUUUCUUCCUCCAUGUUCUUUACGAUGUCCCUCCGUUUCCAUAAUUACAGGCUCAGCUCUCGUGUACAUGUCGUGCCCGAUGCUGUUGGAAGUGGAAGUCCCGCCUCCGGUGCAGCCGCAGGCCACUGGCAGAAAAUAGCCGAACCCUUCGUGACAAACGCGCUAUCCCGAGACUCCUCAUUGUUGCUCGUGACCUUUCCUGACCCGGAGCCUUUUUUUUUUUCUUUUUUUCUUUUCCCCUUCCCGUGAGCCAGUCAGUAGCUCAUGCUGUGAUCUCUACACGUCUGUACUGUGCCAUGACCGAAUCCCGAUUCCGCAGCGACCUGCUUGUAUCAGACCUCUGGCUAAUGAUUCAUCAUGACCCGAGAGCGUGAAUGACUUUGUAAGAAAGAUCCUUCUCUGAAUUCUGGUUUAGACGACGUCGGGUCUGUAGAUUGCUUUAUAAAUAACAGCCUGUAGUUUUGUUUGUUUUUAUACGUAUAGUUUAAGUGUACAUUAUAUCUUGGUAGGUUCCAAAUUGGUCGUACCUUUCGAUAGAUGGUCCUUCUGCUCAAUAAUUUUAUGUAAACAGUACCUCUGGGUGUAUUAUAAUACAGUUAAUGCUAGAUCAAGCUAGCAUACCUUCAUACCUGUGCGACUGUGUUUGUUUAUACAGACAGAACAUCUACUGUUUCUCGGAGGCCCUGACUCUACAGCCCAGGAUACACGAGUACGGCGGGUUUCCGGGAUUUCACAACGUGCGUCAUUUUGCGCAUUUAAACUACGCCAGAGGUUUGACCCCGAGAGUUAAUUUAGUCGAAAUAAAAACGAUUUAUUCAUGAACAGUAAAACACCAGCGCCGUCCAGAUCAGAGAUUUUUUGUAUUACCGAUACCGAUUAUUUGCACGUUUAUGUGCCCAAGAAUUUAGUCGAUUUCACUUCCUCGGUGUUUACAAAACCAAAAAAUAAUUCUUAUUCAUAACAUCGAUAAAUAAAGGGGUCUGAAAGAGCGCGAAAAAUGUAAUAAAAAUAAAGCGCUGUUACUAAAGUGUGUAUUUUAUUUUAUUUUAUUUUUUUAAAUAAAAGCUUAAAAAAAAAUAAAAGCAGAUUACGUGAGUCUGAGUUUGUCUGUAUUUCUUAGCGCCGAGCUGCUUAAACUAGCCGAACAUAUAUACAUAAGCGUUUACACGUAACCCGUCCAAUUUGUGAAUUAACGUUACGUUAAAUAAAGCGCAGUUCUCGAAACGCCCACAAGAUGGCGAGCCGUUUAUCGCCGGAGCCGAUGUUACAAAACCCAUAUCCGAUUAUUGAAAAACGCUGAAAUAUCAGCAACACCGAUUAUGGGGUCGAUGUCUAAUCCAGAUCCACGUGAUAAACGUUAUAAACUGUUAGGGAAAAGUGUUUGUUUUAUUGCAGAUCAGUUUUUAUGCUUCUUAGUUCGACGGUAAGAGUUUCGGUCAGACUCAGCUGGAUGAGGUUUGUUUACUGUUUGUAAAUACUUCAUUGCGUGUGUGGUUAUUUUUAGCGAUGGAAAUCUUUAUUAGGGUAACAUUACUCGGUACUCGGACUCGCUGGGAAAUGCUGCCGCUGUAUUUUGUCAUUGAGUCGGGGUGUGUGUGUGUGUGUGUGUGUGUGUGUGUGUGUUUUGGUUUUAUUUGAAAAGGUCAUGCAGAUAAAGCGUUUGUUGACUCUGUGUGGUUUCGUGGUUUUACGGUUCAAUAAGGAAACGUCUGAAGCUUAAAGAGUUGAGUGUCGUGCUCUUCGCAGUCAGUCACACAGAACAGACUCGGUUUCAGUACAACCAGGUGUAUUUACCUACACACGCCUUGCCUGAAUAAUGCUGCGUUCACUCCUCAUACACCAUUUUUAAAAAAGCAUUUAUUUAUUUAUUUUUACCGGUCGCUGUAAAAUGAAGUCGCCAGGCAGGAGGCGGUCCUACUCCUGGUUGCCGUAGUAACGUUUAUCCGCGUGUGGCGCGACUGGCAUUCCG
ensembl:lncRNA